GUGAGGAAUAUUGGACAAUGGGCGCAAGCCUGAUCCAGCCAUGCCGCGUGCAGGAAGACGCAUCUAUGGUGUGUAAACUGCUUUUGUACGGGAAGAAACACUCCCUCGUGAGGGAGCUUGACGGUACCGUAAGAAUAAGGAUCGGCUAACUCCGUGCCAGCAGCCGCGGUAAUACGGAGGAUCCAAGCGUUAUCCGGAAUCAUUGGGUUUAAAGGGUCCGUAGGCGGUUUAAUAAGUCAGUGGUGAAAGCCCAUCGCUCAACGAUGGAACGGCCAUUGAUACUGUUAGACUUGAAUUACAAGGAAGUAACUAGAAUAUGUAGUGUAGCGGUGAAAUGCGUAGAUAUUGGGAAGAACACCGGUGGCGAAGGCGACUUGCUGGCCAGCAACUGACGCUGAGGCGCGAAAGCCAGGGGAGCAAACGGGAUUAGAAACCCCGGUAGUCC
rnacentral:rRNA from 1 species